CCCAGUCCUACUUUUCUCACUUCUUUACAGGGUAAAGAAGUGCUCCCAAGAGCAUUUCCCAGGACGCGUUCUGCAGGCAACUUUACAUCUCAAAGUCUGUCUCCAGGUGCAGAAGUGCCUACUCAAUGUUCUUCCCUCCGACUCCAAAUCUGAUACACCAAGAACUCACUACUCUGAAUUGCUAGAACAUUUAAUGAGAAUGGUAUACUCUUGAAUGGAUACUGCCAAAUGCUGCCUAGGUUUACUAAAGGAAGAAUUGGAACUUGGCCAUAGCAACACCCAAAGCACCCUGACAUCUCAAAACAGACUUCACAGACUUCAGAAGCUUCCCUGUCGAGACCAAAACAUAUUUCGUAAGAAAUAUGAGUCCAGGACAAAUUAAAACUUUGCCUAUAGCCACAAGCAAGACAGUAGCAGAAUACUAAGUAUGAAAAGGAAUGAAAUCUGUAGAAUCAGCCCCAUCGUACUAGCUUUUAAAUCUGCCUUUCUGUGGGAAGCUUCUCAAUCAGCCAAGGCUGAGUUGGGAAAGAGCAGUUGAGGUGUUUCAUUGACUUUUACUAUUGAAUAUGGAUUUCACAGGCAAUAGAAAAGCCAAGAAGCCUAUCUGGGGACAGUCAAGAGACUAGAAAAGGCAAGAGAUGUUCAGGAAGAAGAUGGUGUUUGCAGACCCAAGGAGCUGUGCUGCUUGGAGAACGCUGGAAUGACAGGGACCUACCCAGUGGAACCUGGAGUCAUGCAGGAAACUCAGCAGCUACUGGAGUGAAUGCCCGUCCAAACAAAGAAAUGGAAAGAGAGACAGUGAUUUAUUCCCUCAACUUGCCCUUCAGUUCUCCACCGUGCCUCUGCAGUGGCCUCCUUGGGAGCCAGGAGACAAGACAGCUUUGGAAAUAUCGCUCCCUGACACACAGUAGAGGGCAGAGAAGGGCAGAGGAUGCAUCGGAGGAAAACAGGUGAACAACUCCUACACCUUCUCUGAUGCCUUCUGACGGAGUUAGUGUCUUCCUCCUAUGCACCCUUACAGCGCAUUAGGCAGAGAAUUAUUAGGACACUCACGCUAUCACAUAAUCACGCUUUGUUUACAUAUCUGGCUCAACUUCUUUCUUUUCGUUCCUCCAGCACUAUUCUGGGAUAUUGCAAUUUUUGAAUAAAAU